AGGAAUACCCGCUGAACUUAAGCAUAUCAAAAGCCGGAGGAA
rnacentral:rRNA from 1 species